UCGGGUAUGGUGUAGCGGUAACAUCGCUGACUCUCAAAAGUCUCUCAGAGAUUUCGAGUCCCUCAGCAGCCCGGGGUUCGACUCCCCGUAUCCGAG